rnacentral:rRNA from 1 species
ACGGGAGUGGCAAGCGUUAUCCGGAAUUAUUGGGCGUAAAGAGCUCGUAGGCGGUUUGUCGCGUCUGCUGUGAAAAUCCGAGGCUCAACCUCGGACCUGCAGUGGGUACGGGCAAACUAGAGUGCGGUAGGGGAGAUUGGAAUUCCUGGUGUAGCGGUGGAAUGCGCAGAUAUCAGGAGGAACACCAAUGGCGAAGGCAGAUCUCUGGGCCGUAACUGACGCUGAGGAGCGAAAGCGUGGGGAGCGAACAGG